UUUAUACUCCCUCUGUCCGAAAAUACUUGUCAUAGAAAUGGAUGUAUCUAGACGUAUUUUAGUUAUAGAUACAUCUAUUUUCAUCUAUUUCUGUGACAAAUAAUUCCAGACGGAGGGAGUACUAA
rnacentral:pre_miRNA from 1 species